rnacentral:RNase_P_RNA from 1 species
GGCAGCGCAACCUAACAGUUGCUGGCCUCACCGACCUGCGGUCGCUGAGGAAAGUCCGCCCACUUUUGCAGCCACUCACGGAAGUGAGGACUGGAAACAGUCGGCAACAGCUCAGAAACGAGACCACCUCAUGGGAGGAUGAAGGAUGCGAAGCCCUUCGCGAGAGGGGUGAGAUAACCUCCGGACGUUCCUUGAGGAAGGGAUUAAACGGCUAGCCCUGGCUUGUGCAAGUCUUCGGGACGCUAAGUUUAAUGUCAAAACACACCAUCGCAUCAGAGCUUGACUUUGGUGUUCGGGUGUGACAGAAGGCGGCUUACUGCAGUC